rnacentral:rRNA from 1 species
AUUGAACGCUGGCGGCAGGCCUAACACAUGCAAGUCGAACGAGUGGCGGACGGGUGAGUAAUGUCUGGGAAACUGCCUGAUGGAGGGGGAUAACUACUGGAAACGGUAGCUAAUACCGCAUACCAUCAGAUGUGCCCAGAUGGGAUUAGCUGGUUGGGGGGGUAACGGCUCACCACGGCGACGAUCCCUAGCUGGUCUGAGAGGAUGACCAGCCACACUGGACUUGAGACACGGUCCAGAUUCCUACGGGAGGCAGCAGUGGGGAAUAUUCGCCAAUGGGCGAAAGCCGGAUGCAGCCAUGCCGGGUGUAUGAAGAAGGCCUUCGGUUGGUAAAGUACUUUCAGCGGGGAGGCGUUACCCGCAGAAGAAGCACCGGCUAACUCCGUGCCAGCAGCCGCGGUAAUUC